UACGUAGGUGGGCAAGCGUUGUUCGGAAUUACUGGGCGUAAAGCGCGUGUAGGCGGCUCUUCAAGUCAGACGUGAAAGCCCCGGGCUUAACUCGGGACUGCGUUUGAUACUGUCGAGCUAGAGUGUGGAAGGGGCGAUUGGAAUUCCGUGUGGUAGCGGUGAAAUUCGUAGAUAUCGGGAGGAACACCAGUGGCGAAGGCGACUACCUGGCCUGUUCUUGGACGCUGAGGCGGCGAAAAGCUAGGGGGAGCAAACGGGG
rnacentral:rRNA from 1 species